UACGGGGGGGGCAAGCGUUGUUCGGAAUUACUGGGCGUAAAGGGCCAGUAGGCGGCCAACUAAGUCGGAUGUGAAAUCCCCAGGCUUAACCUGGGAACUGCAUCCGAUACUGGAUGGCUUGAAUUCGGGAGAGGGAUGCAGAAUUCCAGGUGUAGCGGUGAAAUGCGCAGAUAUCAGGAGGAACACCGGGGGCGAAGGCGGUUCUCUGGGCAUUACCUGACGCUGAGGAGCGAAAGGGUGGGGAGCGAACAGG
rnacentral:rRNA from 1 species